AUUGAACGCUGGCUGCAGGCCUAACACAUGCAAGUCGAACGCGAGGCGGACGGGUGAGUAAUGCCUGGGAACCUGCCCGAUGGUGGGGGAUAACUACUGGAAACGGUAGCUAAUACCGCACACCAUCGGAUGUGCCCAGAUGGGAUUAGCUAGUUGGUGGGGUAACGGCUGACCUAGGCGACGAUCCCUAGCUGGUCUGAGUGGGAGACAGGCCACACUGGAUCGGAGACACGCUCCAGACACAUACGGAAGGCAGGAGUGAGGAAUAUGUAACGAUGGACGGGAGCCUGAUGGAGCCAGGCCGGGUGUAUGAAGGAGGACGGCGGGUUGUAAAGUACUUUCAGCGAGGAGGCGUUACUCGCAGAAAAAGCACGGCUAACUCCGUGCCAGCAGCCGCGGUAAUUC
rnacentral:rRNA from 1 species